GUAUUUAUCUUGAAUCAGUUUGUUAAUCUACAUUAUAUGGGUAUGAUAGUUGUACAUCUUCUACUAGAUCAAGUUAAAUAUAGCUAUCCUUUUCUAGAUGUAAUGUGAAAGUGUACCUUAUAGUAUUUUUCAUUCUUAGGUGGAUCUUGAUAAAACUGCCUGGUUUUGUGGUUUGCACGAGACGGUUGACACAAUGAUCUGAAGUUCAAGCUGCCAUUUUCUACUGUCCGCUGCGAGAUCUUGGCUGGAAUAUAAAAGGAAUGUCCAAAAUAUUUAAAUGACAAAUAGGAUGGGAACUGAUUAUGAGGAAUAUGCUGAAACAGACAUCUGGCAUAUUCCUAUAAUCAGUAUCAUGGCCUUUGUAUACAACAAAAUUGAUUGGAACUCCUAGACUAGAAAUAUAAUUCAAGAUUUAAAUAAGGCACUGGUCAUAGUUUUAGAAAGAGUGGCUA
rnacentral:sRNA from 1 species